rnacentral:lncRNA from 1 species
UAAUCCUUGAGGUAGGAAGGAGGGUUGUGUUGUCUACUGGAUUUUCUGGAUAUGAUAACAGGCUGAGAGACAGGCAAAUCAGGAAGAGAAAUAGUGGGAUUGAAAGAAGGAGAAGCAAUGGAUAGAGGGGAGGCAGGAGAGGAAACAGCAGGAGAAGGAAAAGUAGGAGGAGAAGAGGGAGAAUCAUUGAAAGUAGGUAAUGUAAACGUUUGUUCAAGGAUGUCAUCAGAGAAGGGAAUAGGUGGAGGAG